rnacentral:rRNA from 2 species
UGCAGUCGAGCGCACUGGCCCAACUGAUAUGACGUGCUUGCACUGAUUUGACGAUGGAUUACCAGUGAGCGGCGGACGGGUGAGUAACACGUGGGCAACCUGCCCUAAAGCGGGGGAUAACAUUUGGAAACAGGUGCUAAUACCGCAUAACUACGAAAACCACAUGGUUUUCGUAUCAAAGAUGGUUUCGGCUAUCACUUUAGGAUGGGCCCGCGGUGCAUUAGCUAGUUGGUAGGGUAACGGCCUACCAAGGCAAUGAUGCAUAGCCGAGUUGAGAGACUGAUCGGCCACAAUGGAACUGAGACACGGUCCAUACUCCUACGGGAGGCAGCAGUAGGGAAUCUUCCACAAUGGGCGCAAGCCUGAUGGAGCAACACCGCGUGAGUGAAGAAGGGUUUCGGCUCGUAAAACUCUGUUGUUGAAGAAGAACGUGCAUGAGAGUAACUGUUCAUGCAGUGACGGUAUUCAACCAGAAAGUCACGGCUAACUACGUGCCAGCAGCCGCGGUAAUACGGAGG